rnacentral:lncRNA from 1 species
UUUGGUGUUUUAUGGAGAAACAACGUGACUAUCUGGGCCUCAGCUGAGAAGACUAGAAUAACUGCGGGUGACUCCCUGAGCUCAGAGCUGAAGUCGUGUGGAGGCUUUUCCACCAACACCUGGUCCAGGGUGACUUGAAGGUGAGCACAGCUGGCUUGUGGCCAGAGCAACUGCACACGUCCUUUGCACGGGGAGUUGGCUUCUAGUCAGACUGCUUAUGUGGUGACUUCAAAUUCCUGGUGUAACGAUUCCCAGUAAACAAUAGGAAGCUGCUGGGCUCUUUAUGACUUGCCCUUAGAAGUAACAUGGCAUCACUCCUACCCUGCUCUGUAGGUCAAAGUCUUCACAAGCUCAGUGAAAUUCAAGGAGAAAGGACCAAAAUUCCUACAGCUUAAUGGAAUAAGUGUCAAAAAAUUUGAAGCCCUGUUUUAACUUUCACUAUAAUCAACAGGUAACGCCAAUUGGGAUUACAGAAGUUAAUAUAACCAGAAUAGAGUAUAUUUGAAGAAUAUUGGCAGGCUUUUAUGAUGUAACAAUGUCCCUGAUUCAUUCCUGAUACCCAUUUUUGUUUGUUUUCAUUUUCUUAGAAGCAUUCUUUCUACAGGUUUAGAAUUGCAUUGAUCUUUGCAAAACAUCAACUUUUGUAUUUGUUAGCUGUUUCUAUUAUUAAUUUUUUUCUAUUUCAGUAAUUGUUAUGUUUAUUAUUUCCUCCCUUCUCCUUACAGGGAUAAUUUGCAGAUCCUUUGCUAACUCAUUAAAACGGUUGCUUAGAACUUUUAUUUCAGCCUUUGUAUAAAAUGUAUAUUUCAGCUCUACAUUUAUGCUUAAGGUCUGUCUCAGUGACAUUUUUCCAAUUUUGAUAUGUAGCAUUUUAAUAUUCACUUAUUAAAAAUAUUAAAUCAUUUCCAUUGUGAGGUGUUUUUUUUGACCACAGACUUUAAAAGUGUAUCUGUUAAUUUCCAAAUAUAUAAGGAUUUUCUGUUUACUUUUCUGUAUUAGUUUUUACCUUAACUGUGGUCAGAGAGCAUAACGUAUGUUGUCAGUGCUUUGAAAUGUGUUGAGACUUGCUUUAUAUCUCAGUACAAGUUAUUUUCAUCAGUGUUUCAUGAAUUCUUAAAAAGAAUAUGUAUUUUGCAAUUUUUGAGUUCAAUUGUUCUGUAUAUGGCAGUCAAACAAUUUAGUUUAUUAUGCUUUCAAAUCUUCUACAUUUUUGCAUAUUUUUCUGCUGCUCUCUUUUUUACUGAGAGCUUAAAAUAUCUUACUGAUUUCAGAAUUGUUAAAUUUUUUUUAGUCAAUAGUUUUCUGCUGUAUACAUGUAAUACUGUAUAAUUAGAUAUAUAGAAAAUUGUAUCUUCCUGGUUAAUUGACACUUUUGUUAUUUCCAAUGUCUCGAUUUAAAAUAAUGCUUUUUGCUUUUUGUCUGAUAUUUAGUAUAACUCACUCUUUCUUUUUGUUACUGUUUGUGUGGCAUCUUUUAUUUUAUUUAUUCUUUAUUGUCUCCCUUUACAUAUUCCUAUAUUUUUUGUGCGAAUAUUGUAAGUAGUAUAUAAUUUAGCAUUCCCCAGUAUUACAUACUGGGUCUUUUAACUGUUUCUUUACUCUGUCAUUACUGAUGAAUUAGUAUUUAGGUCGAACUUUACCUUCUGCUUUGUUUGAUUUAACACUUACUCUUUAUUCUUUUUUCUUCUUCUUCUUUUGAUAUGUUUAGGCUUCAUUAAGUGUUUUCAUUUUCUUCUCUAUUUGAUUUUUUAGCUAUUCAUUUUAUUAGUCUACUUUGAUAACUACUUAGGUAUGGACGGAUCCUAGGGCACUAUAUAAUUCCAUUUAACUUCUUUUUUGUAUUUUGUACAAUUACUAUCAUAUAUUUCAAUUUUGUAUGUUUAAAAUGUCAUAAAUGUUAUUGCUUUGUUUUAUGCAAGUGGUAUAUAUUUAGUUUUACACAUAUGUGUACCAUCUCGUCAUUCUUCAUUUCUUUCUGUUAUGAAAUCUCAGAUUAUGUUCUACCCACCCCCAAAAUAAAUAUUCCCAUGAAUAAAGAAUCUAAUUUGGCAG